UGCCCUCUGCCGUGUGCGACGGCGUGCGCAACAUUUGCCUUGUCCCUAGAUGACGACCACGGGGUGGCAUCGGUUGCCGGGAGUGCAGGUCCGCCCACGAGCGGAAAGCCCGAAGGCCACCGCGCUUCCCCACUUGAACCGCAGGUUCAAGGUCGUUACGCACGCAUCGGCACGGUGGAGGCAU
rnacentral:other from 1 species